AGGUUUCCCGGCCCAUAGUGUCCUGGGACCGUCUGCUCUGGACACCUUUGGCCAUCUCUGCUUGUGCUAUCUAGCAUUUAUACAGAAAGAAACAUCUAACAUCUAGAGUAGGUUCCUUCCAUUCCUCCUUUCAGCUUAUAUUCCUCUUCCAGCAAUGUGGGGUGAUUUCUGAACACACCAAGAAGAUGUGCACAAGGUCCCUGCGCUGCCCACAGCACACAGAUGAGCAGAGGCGAACCGUACGGAUUUAUUUUCUCGGGCCCUCGGCUGUCCUUCCAGAGGUCGAGAGCUCCCUGGAUAAUGACAGCUUUGACAUGACUGACAGCCAGGCCCUGAUCAGCCGGCUUCAGUGGGACGGCUCCUCUGACCUCUCACCCUCUGAUUCAGGCUCCUCCAAGACGAGUGAAAAUCAGGGAUGGGGUCUAGGUACCAACAGCUCUGAGUCACGGAAAACCAAGAAAAAGAAA
rnacentral:sRNA from 1 species